UAGGGAAUCUUCCGCAAUGGGCGAAAGCCUGACGGAGCAACGCCGCGUGAGUGAUGAAGGUCUUCGGAUCGUAAAACUCUGUUAUUAGGGAAGAACAAAUGUGUAAGUAACUAUGCACGUCUUGACGGUACCUAAUCAGAAAGCCACGGCUAACUACGUGCCAGCAGCCGCGGUAAUACGUAGGUGGCAAGCGUUAUCCGGAAUUAUUGGGCGUAAAGCGCGCGUAGGCGGUUUUUUAAGUCUGAUGUGAAAGCCCACGGCUCAACCGUGGAGUGUCAUUGGAAACUGGAAAACUUGAGUGCAGAAGAGGAAAGUUGAAUUCCAUGUGUAGCGGUGAAAUGCGCAGAGAUAUGGAGGAACACCAGUGGCGAAGGCGACUUUCUGGUCUGGAACUGACGCUGAUGUGCGAAAGCGUGGGGAUCAAACAGG
rnacentral:rRNA from 1 species